rnacentral:misc_RNA from 1 species
AAACAGUAAUGGCGGGUUGAGCUCGUCAAAAUGAAUAAAUAAUGGAGGAAAGGACGUCGACACGCACAGCCCGAUAACAAGAUUUCGUGACAACCCAUCGUAAGACAACAGAUACAAUCCUGCAUGCAGUUAAAAAUUAGGAACAUCAACUAUUUAUGAUGGCCUGACAAGUAGGAGCAAGCUAUAAGCACCCUCAUUAUUGAUGAACAUAAAAAACUUCUAGUCAUAAUAGUCGUAGAAUCAAACAUUCAGAUAGACCAAGAUGCCUGUUGCAGGAGAUAGAUUACAGACACUGCAGGUCUGCAAGCUUUUGCAAUGUGUCAGAGAAAAGGACAUGAAUCAAAUCACAAAACUCAUAAACCAUGGGAUACCAUACCUGAUUAAUUAUAACGAUGCCAAUGAUGGUUUGACGGCCCUGGGAGUGGCUGCUGCAGCUAAUGAUGAUGAGAUGGUCAAAUUUUUAAUUGGUUCCGGAGCUCACCCCGAUGCUGUGGACUUGAAGGGUAGGACCGCUUCAAUGAGAGCAGCGGAGUUUGGCCAUGUUCAGUGUUUGGAACAACUAAUGGAGGUUAAAGCUAAAAUGGACAUAAAAGAUUUGGAAGGAAAAGGUAUUUUGUUCUACUGUAUUUCUCCCACUGAGCGCCAUGCCAAAUGUUUAGAGAUAGCUGUGGAGCAUGGAGCAGACCCAAACAACAUAUCAAUGGAGGGGAUUCCAGUUCUUCUCUAUGCCUGUGAAACGGCCAUUGAUAAUGAGGAGGCCUGUAUCCAACUCCUUCAGAAGGGAGCUAACCCAAAUGGAAAACAGGAGAAAACAGGAAAGACUUGUUUAAUGGCUGCUGCAGCAAGUGGAAGUGUCAAGGUUGUUCGAGCCAUCCUAGAGCGUGGAGCAGACGUAAAUGCUCUGGAUAUAAAGCAUAACCAUGCUGCUCACUAUGCUGCAAUUGGAGGCAGUUUAGCCGUUUUGGCCUGCAUGUCUGGGCAUGGAGCAUUGUUUGACCAGACUAACUCGGAGGGCAAUACUCCCAUACACAAUGCUGCAAUGAAUGGCCACGGAAUGUGCUGUAAAUUUCUGGCACAAAGAGGUUGUAAUCCUAAACCAAAGAACAAUGAAGGAGAGACAGGGAGAAGUCUGGCAAAGGACAGAGACCACAAAGAGGCCACGAAGGAGUGUAGGAAGGCCGAGAAAAGUUUUGGCAAAGUGGGCAAAAACAACGAGCCUUGGGCCAUUGCUCUAUACGAUUGGGUAUACGAGAGAUCCGAAAAAAUACUUAACAUGAUGAUUAAAUACGAUCCUGAUGAAAAAGGAACUGUGACGAAAGACAAUUUUGCGGACAGUCUGACGGGAAUGGGGGCACCAGUGGAGGAAGAGGAAAUGAAGAAAGUCGUAGCGGCUCACGAUAAAAACAAAGAUGGCAAUGUUGACUUUAAUGACUUUCUAACUGGCAAAAAAUAUGUGAAUAAAAACUAUUUAAUGAGUGCCUUUGAAGGCAAAAAGAAAAAGAAAGGGAAAAAAGGAAAGGGAGGUAAAAAGAAGGGGAAGUUUAAGCUUGUUAUGCCAAUCUGUACUAAAGACGAGGGACCAAGAACCUAUGGAGGAGCACCACCAGAGAUGUUCAUUGAGCGACAUAUUCACUUCACGGAUACAAAUCGUUUUGACAGGGACAAGCCCCCAGCUCACCCUCUGCAGGAUGAUUCCGCAUGGUAUUUGAACCACCCGGACAGAAUGUACAUGAACAUUGCUGAUGCUGCAAAAAAUGGCGACUACGAGUCACUGAAGAAUGCUUUCCAGAGGGGUUCAACGGCAGACACCCGGGAUAAGUACUACAAGACUCCACUGAUGGUGGCUUGUGCUACUGGAAGGAUUGACAUGGUCAAGUUUCUUGUUGACAAUGGGGCAAUGAUCAAUGCCAGGGACAACUUCAAAUGGACACCACUUCACCAUGCUUGCCACGCAGGACAACUGGAUGUGGUGGAGUAUCUGAUUGACCACGGUGCCGAGAUAGACGCUACCACAAUGAAUGGUGGUACACCACUCACACGAGCCAUUGAGAGUUCUAGAGAUAGUGUGGUAGAUUAUCUCAUCGGUAAAGGCUGUAAAGUGCAGACCGAAAAUUCUAAAGGUCAUACCCCAAUGGACGUUGCCAUAGCAUGGGCUGAUCCAAGAGUUGUAGAUGUCGUGCAGUUAAAAUGGGAGAGCCUGCCAGCCAUGGGGGACAAGAAAGGAGGGAAAGGAAAGAAAGGCAAAGGGGGAGGGGGUAAAACCACUCGCCCUUCCUCAGGACCAGCCCCUGAGGCGAAGGAGAAUGUCGCUAGUUAAAAAAGUGGAUAAAGUGGAUAGUAUUCAGAGCACCAUUCCCAUUCAGGUCCAUUAGGAUUUGGGGAGUUUGAUGAGCCCCCAAGACAGAGGAAAGGCUCCAUUCUCCGGGCGGCCUCCGCGCUAGCUGGGGGGAUGGACGAACAGGAAGACAUUACAUAUACUCCUCUAGUUCCUUGGACCAAACAGCCGAGCAGUAAAGAACUCAUCGAACAGCGACAAAUUAAUCGGGAGCGAUAUGGGUGGGAAGUGGACUUUGAUGACUUUGAGAUGCCCUUUAAUAAAAAUAUUACUAAACGAUGUGAAGAAAUGGGGGAUGAUGAUUAAUGAUGACCUUUUUUAAAACAUAAUUUUUAUAUUUUGUACAUGAAUUUCAGGAAGGGAGUGUAACUUUGAUUUUGAUCUAGAUUAAGAAACUGCUGAAUUGUUAAUUUCAUGAGUACCUGUGUAUCAAUCUUAUAUGCAAUUUACCGUACUGUGGACACAUAUAUUUUUGCCUUAUUUUCUUUCACAUGCAAACAUGUUUCAUUGUGUGUUGAUGAAAUCAUCAGUAUUGUUAAAUGCAUGUUCAUGGCAGUAGCCAGUUCGGUUAUAAAGCAAAUUCUGUGAUAAAACUGUUCCUAAUUUUUAUUUGGUUGAGGUGCCUUUGUACAUGUAUCAGAGUAAAUUCAUGACUUAAUCACAUAACUACUUUGAAAAUUUAAAUUGUGUAAAUACACGAUUCAAAAUGUACAAAACUUAGUUUUCUAUCUGCUGUACGUGUUACCUUAAGUUGGAUGUCAGUAGGUAUAGAAAAAUAAGUUUGCAUGCAUGAGCCAUUUUAUGACUGAAAUGAAGGGGUUUUUUUCCCAUAAAGUAAAAUGAUACUUCAUACUAUAAAGUUAAUUGAGUUGGAACAGAUAUCGGUAGAUGGAUUUUUUAUAAACCCCCAGUCAGAGGAAUUGAUAUAAUAUCUGGAAAUCAUGUGUUUGACUAUAGUAAUGAGUGAGGCAAGGCUUUGUCCCUUUACAUUAUGAGAUAGAUUUAUAAGUAUGCGUUGUUACUGUACAUAGAUGGAAUUACAUGUGCUGGUACAUGUAUAUGUAUGCCUUGUUUUGGAGAAGUUGUAUGAAUUUAAAGUUUGUAUCUUUGUUAACUCUUUUAAUUGUAACUUGAUUAUUGGUGAAUAAAUAUAUUGCCAAGACCUGCA